rnacentral:rRNA from 1 species
GAAGGAGGACUGAAAGGAACUCUGGAGGUAUCAGAAGUGAGAAUGCAGGAAUAAGUAGCGAGAAGGGGAGUGAGAAUCUCCCCCGCUGGAAGACCAAGGUUUUCAGGGUAAAGCUUGUCUUCCCUGAGUAAGCCGGGACCUAAGCCCAGGCUAGAAUGCGUAGGCGAAUGGAAAACAGAUGAAUAUUUCUGUGCCAGUUCUACUUUGUGAAGGAGGGACGCAGAAGGGUAUGCGCGCAGACGAACGGAAGAGUCUGUAGAAGCAUGUAGAGUGACUUGGUAGGCAAAUCCGCCAGGUUAGACUUAAGGUGUGACAUAUACUCGCAAGAGGAAUGCGCAAAUCCCACGCUGCCGAGAAAAGCUUCUAGCGGUAAAGUAGAGACUGCCCGUACUGGAAACCGACACAGGUGGUCAGGAUGAGAAAUCUAAAGCGGACAGGCUAACUCUCGUUAAGGAACUCUGCAAAAUGGCCCCGUAACUUCGGGAGAAGGGGUGCCUUUAGGCGUGAGUAUACAAGCGAUACAAAGCGCUUUGAGGUCGCAGUGAAGAGGCUCAAGCAACUGUUUAACAAAAACACAGGUCUAUGCGAAGCUGUAAGGCGAAGUAUAUGGGCUGACACCUGCCCAGUGCCGGAAGGUUAAGAGGAGGAGUGAGAGCUCCGAAUUGAAGCCCCGGUGAACGGCGGCCGUAACUAUAACGGUCCUAAGGUAGCGAAAUUCCUUGUCGGGUAAGUUCCGACCUGCACGAAUGGUGUAAUGAUUUGAGCGCUGUCUUGACGGGAGGCCUGGUGAAAUUGUAUUACCGGUGAAGAUACCGGUUACCUACAGUAGGACGGAAAGACCCCAUGGAGCUUUACUGUAGCUUGGUAUUGGGUUUUGGCAUGGCAUGUAUAGGAUAGUUGGGAGACUGGGAAGGAAUGGCGCUAGCUGUACCGGAGUCAUCGGUGGAAUACCAACCAUUCCCUGCUGAAAUUCUAAUCUGUACUUUGGAGGUAUGGAGACAGUGCUAGGUGGGCAGUUUGACUGGGGCGGUCGCCUCCGAAAGAGUAACGGAGGCGUUCAAAGGUUCUCUCAGGUUGGAUGGAAAUCAACCGCAGAGUGCAAUGGCAAAAGAGAGCUUGACUGCAAGACUGACGGGUCGAGCAGAUGCGAAAGCAGGACAUAGUGAUCCGGCGAUUCCGUAUGGAAGGGUCGUCGCUCAACGGAUAAAAGCUACCCUGGGGAUAACAGGCUGAUCCUACCCGAGAGUCCAUAUCGACGGUAGGGUUUGGCACCUCGAUGUCGGCUCAUCGCAUCCUGGGGCUGGAGAAGGUCCCAAGGGUUGGGCUGUUCGCCCAUUAAAGCGGUACGUGAGCUGGGUUCAGAACGUCGUGAGACAGUUCGGUCCCUAUCCACUGUAGGCGCAAGAAUAUUGAGAAGAUCUGUCCUUAGUACGAGAGGACCGGGAUGGACAAACCUCUGAUGUACCAGUUGUCACGCCAGUGGCACAGCUGGGUAGUCACGUUUGGCAUAGAUAACCGCUGAAAGCAUCUAAGCGGGAAACUAGCUUCAAGAUAAGUAUUCUAAGAGGAAGCUUCGAGAACAGGAGCUGGAUAGGUUGGGGGUGUACGCGCAGUAAUGUGUUUAGCUGACCAAUACUAAUCGAACGAAAUUUUAAUCGG